GGUGUAGCACAAUGGUAGUGCAUCGCACUGUUAAUGCGACGGUUGCAGGUUCGAGUCCCGCCAC
rnacentral:tRNA from 1 species